rnacentral:lncRNA from 1 species
UCAAUUUGUCUUUUUCCUUUUGAAGAAUUAUUUUAUAGACGUGAUAUUUGUGCAUCAUUUUGUAGUGUUUUAUGUAUCGCAUCAUGUUUUUAUAUUCUUAUUUUCUAUGACUCUAUAAUAUUAAUGUAAUAAGGCCCAAUUCGGCCUGGGCCCAAAUACAAAAAAAAAACCGGUUCAGGCCCAAUCAAACUGGCCCAAAGCAAAAACAAAAACAAAAAAGACUAGCCCUAAGGAGCGCCGCAGCAAGCCCCGAAUGCACCUAGCAGCCUCCCCACCUCCAAUAGACCCCGAUCGGCGUACGUUUCGGGACUAGCUCCUCCACGCACGCGCCGUAACCUCCAC